CGACUCUCGGCAACGGAUAUCUCGGCUCUCGCAUCGAUGAAGAACGUAGCGAACUGCGAUACUUGGUGUGAAUUGCAGAAUCCCGUGAACCAUCGAGUCUUUGAACGCAAGUUGCGCCCGAAGCCAUUUUGGCCGAGGGCACGUUUGCCUGGGUGUCACAC
rnacentral:rRNA from 1 species